UUACGGCCAUAUCACGUUCAAACACCAGUUCCAGUACGAUCACCGAAGUUAAGCUACGUCGAUCCUGGUCAGUACCUAGAAGGUCGACCGCUUGAGAAUAGCAGGUGUUGUAAG